UAAAUGGAUUUAUAAAUGACAAAGUGCGUAGCAGUAAGCAUAUCGGAUCUUGUGAAGAAGACUACCAUGAGCAGUAUCAGCAAUGAAAACAAAUUAUCGAACGCACUUACUACGCAAAUCAAUUACAACAAUAUAGAUCAAGACGUUGAAAGGGGGGAAGCAAAAGACAUCACCUCGCACAUAGUGGGGCGUCCUUCAGUGGGUAUCUUGGGGGCCACCUCCGUCGUCUCCCUUGACUGCGAAACGGUAGCAGUAGCACCUGGUGGCAGAGGUGAUAGCAUUAGUUCCUCAUCUUCCAUUCGCCGUUGGACUGUAGUCACCCGUCUGCUACGGUGUCUGCUGUUAGCGAUGUUUCUACUGGCUGGCCUUUUAGCCGCACUCACCGCCCUCUGGCUUUACAUGGGUUCGCUAUUCAUUGUUCAGCUUUGUUUAGUAGCUAUUGUUGCAUAUUUCGUCGCUGGCGGUAGACUUCGAUGGUUUUACAUUGCAUUCAAGACAGCACCGCGUGAUAUCAAGGCAAUUUGUCGUUAUAGUCGCUUAUUGUGGGCGAUAAAAGAUCAUGAGAAGAAACAUCGGAGCGUCGCUGACGUAUUUCAACAACAUGUUGCUCACAAUCCUAAUAAACCAUGUCUUAUAUUUGAAGAUCAGGAGUGGACAUUUCAACAGAUUGAAGAUUAUAGUAAUAAAGUUGCUUAUGUAUUUAAAACCCAUGGCUACAAAAAAGGUGAUGCAAUCGCACUUUUAUUAGAAAAUCGACCUGAAUAUAUUGCUAUUUGGCUGGGUCUCAGUAAACUGGGCAUAAUUACUCCACUUAUCAAUACGAAUUUAAGAAAAAGUUCUCUACUUCAUAGUAUUACUGUAGCAGAGUGCCAAGCAUUAAUUUAUGGUUUUGAUUUAGCAGAAGCGGUAAAGGACAUUGCACCAUCUCUGGAUUCAAAGUUAUCUCUAUAUCGACUGUCUGAUGAUGUAAAUACACCGAAGGAUGAAUUAGAAGCAAAGGAGCUUGGUCAUUUUUUGGCUGAUGCUCCAAGUAUGCCCCCAGUUGUCAAAGACAAAGGCUGCUAUAGUGAUAAACUUAUGUAUAUAUAUACAAGUGGUACGACGGGUCUACCUAAAGCAGCGGUUAUUACCAAUUCCAGAUUUAUGUUUAUUGCUAGUGGUAUUUAUUACUUAGCAGGAUUUCACAACUCUGAUAGAUUUUAUACACCUUUACCAUUGUAUCACACAGCAGGUGGUGUAAUGUCUGUAGGUCAAAGUUUAUUGCAUGGUGCCACAACUGUUAUUAGAAAAAAAUUUUCUGCUAGUUCGUACUUCAGUGAUUGUAUCAAGUACAACUGCACGGUAUCGCAAUAUAUUGGAGAAAUGUGUCGAUAUAUAUUAGCAGUACCUUCGAGUCCAGAAGAUAUAAAACAUAAUAUACGCGUUAUAUUUGGAAAUGGUCUAAGACCACAAAUUUGGCAUGAAUUUGUCACCCGAUUUGAAAUUCCUGAAGUAUGUGAAUUUUAUGGUGCUACUGAAGGCAAUGCAAAUAUAAUAAACAUUGAUAAUACAAUAGGAGCAAUAGGCUUUGUAUCUCGCAUAUUACCUGCAAUAUACCCCAUUUCAAUUAUCAAAAUUAAUGCUGAUGGGGAGCCAAUUAGAAAUUCCAAAGGACUUUGUCAAGUAUGCGAACCAAAUGAACCUGGAGUUUUUAUUGGUAAAAUUAUUCCACAUAAUCCUUCUAGAGCAUUUUUAGGAUAUGUAGAUAAAAAAGCAUCGAAGACAAAAAUUGUUCAUGAUGUAUUUUCAAAGGGUGACUCUGCAUUUUUAUCAGCAUGGAACAACACAAUAUUAAGUAUACUUGCAAGAAAUGGACAAGUAGUUAACAAACUCGGAAAUAAAAAUAACAGAGUGAAGAAACAGAACUUCUGUAGAUCACAGCAUAAACCGUUAAAAAAUGAUUAUUUCACUUCACGUAAAAAGGAUCAUCGCAAAGCAUCUUUUGUAAUUUUAUUCUGUAAUAUUGAUCACAUACAAAAUAGUGUAUUGAAGAAAUAAUUAUAAAAGUAAAUUUAAUAGAAAUUGAAGAAGGCCUUAGACUGAGGCAGAUUUUAAAAAAUAAACAGUUCUUCAUUCUCUCCUCCCUUGUAACGAGGGUGGACAGCUUGUCUGAUUGACGCUUUGAAAUAGGUGGUUUCUUGGAAAUAAUCAAGCAAUUCCCCAUCCUCUAAGAACGUAAAAGCUAGUCGUCACUUUAAAAAGGCGGGCGGAUCACUGCGCAGCAUCGAUCUUUUAUAAUCAUCCCGAUAAAAAUUUAAUACAAUUACUAGAAUGGAAAUGUCGAAACCGAAAAAAUAAGUCGAAAUAAAAAAAAGUAAUAGAAUGCUUCGAUCUAAAUCGAAUAGUGUUACAUCAACGGUAAGAGGCGUCAGUUCAUACCAGCAGGGCAAGAGAUCAUGUGGCUCCUAUAUCGUCAAUCAGUCUCAUCUCUGUAGGAGACAAUCAAAUUUUGAGAAGUGUCAGUUACUGUGGAAUCUUCACUUAAAUCUUCUCAGUAUCAACAGAAUACUAUUUGCUCUACAUACUUUAUGAUAGUAAUUUCUUGUUACUGUCCCUGUCUCUUCUUUUCUUUUCUAAUCUUUGGAUUGUAUCAAGUCUUGUAAAAACCAACGCUCGGGAGCCGACAUAUGCAUCUAUUUUAAAUGGCAAGAUGCUCUUAUAUGUCAAUAAGACACGAGAAAAUAAUGUGAUAUUCUUGUAGCCGAUGAACUUGGUUAUCUAUAUUUCAAAGAUAGAACUGGAGAUACCUUUCGUU